rnacentral:lncRNA from 1 species
CUGAAGAAGGCUGUGACAGUGACUGCUGCUCUCGGUGGAAGUUUGCAUCUUCCGGUCCCAGUAGGGAGGAACAGUGGGGGCCCUUCUUUAUCUAGAAAUUAAAUUUCUUGCUCUUCUUUGAAUGUCUAAAAGAUGAGGAAAAGAAGCCUCUUCACCCAGGAAAUGAGGUGCCAAAUUUAGCAAUUUGUAAUUAUGCCUCCCU